rfam:Triticum aestivum genome assembly, contig: Triticum_aestivum_CS42_TGACv1_scaffold_473809_6AL
GUAGUACUCCCUCCGUCCGAAAAAGUUUGUUCUAAGCUUAUUUCUCAAAUGGAUGUAUCUAGCAUUACUUGGUGCUAGAUCAUCCAUUUGAGGGACAAGCUUUUUCGGACGGAGGAAGUAUUUA